GAUGAAGAACGCAGCGAAAUGCGAUAAGUAAUGUGAAUUGCAGAAUUCAGUGAAUCAUCGAAUCUUUGAACGCACAUGGCGCCUUCCAGUAUCCUGGGAGGCAUGUCUGUCCGAGCGUCGUUUCAACCCUCGAGCCCCCGUGGCCCGGCGUUGGGGAUCUGCCACGGCAGGCCCCUAAAACCAGUGGCGGACCCGAAGGCCCUCUCCUUUGCGCAGUAGCAUCAGCCUCGCAUUGGGAUCCCUCGGCGUCCUGCCUCUAAACCCCCCACAAGUCCGCUCCGGCGGCACCAAGGUUGACCUCGGAUCAGGUAGGAAUACCCGCUGAACUUAAGCAUAUCAAUAAGCGGAGGA
rnacentral:misc_RNA from 1 species